CCCAACACAGUCUUCACCAGUGAACUGAUACUGAUCCGAUUCCGUGUCGUUAAAAAACGGAUUUUUUGAGGGCCGUAGAACGGAUUGGUUUCCGUUCUCUUACGCUAGAGUCGCAUGAAGGCAAUAACGUUAUGCCUACCCUCUAGCGCCUCUAGCUGAUUCAUAAUCGGAUUCGUUUCAGUUAACCGAUUUUUGACAAAUCAACGCGUUUUUCAAAUCAGUGAGCGGACCCGUUUCCGUUCACAGAUUCGUUUCAGUUUAUUAUCAACUUGUUUUUUAUAAUAAGAAGCCGAAACCUUUCCAUUAUUUGAACGGCUUCGUUUCCGUUUCCAUAUCACGUUUUUAGUAAACAAAUAACUAUUUGCUUAUUAGAAUAUUAACCGAUUUUAAUUGUGUUAUUGAAAAGCAAAACAAACAAAAUGUCGUCGGACAAGAAUUAAGUGAUCUGUUGAGAGAUGCAAAAGGAGUGAAACAGCAAAAACUGAGAAAGUUAAUUUCGUCAGCACAGCAGCACCCAGUGACCCAGAAGGAAGGGAUUGUUUUGAUAUCAAAACAAUUCAACCUUCCUGCAGUAAACUGAAGCCUGACAAGAUUCAUUUAAGAGGCUGAUGGAAACAGAAAUAUUGUGUUAGAGACUUCUGUACCAAAUCCAUAUGGAAUUCACCUUUACAACCUACUUGAAUAAGACGUUGAACAGAAGAACCUCAUCUAGUCUCGUCAUCACUCUCAUCUGUGUUGGCUGCAGAGCUAAAGUUGGAAUGUCUGUUGUUCAAUCUCCAACGUGAAAGACCAGUCAUUGGAGAUUCUUUGAAUUCAGACAAUGUUCGAGUCAGAACUCAUAGAUAUCCUUUACCAGCAGCACUACUACAGAUUAUUGCAACGAAACAAAAGGCUGAAACAACUAAACAGAUAAUCUAUUCAUAUUUCUUUUAUCUUAUUCAAAUUGCUCAUUCUUUUAAGUGUUUGUGAAAUCAGGUGGACAGGCACAGGCUCCAGAAUUAUGUCUCACAUGAUAUAAUUGACUGGGCUUGCAACUUACAUCAAACACUUCAAAUUCAUACUUUGGUUUAUAUUACUUUUAAUUGAAACUUUCGUGUAAUUUUAAAAGAUGAUGUAUAGAAUAAAUUGUGUAUCGAAUCAAAAC
rnacentral:lncRNA from 1 species